GUGAAUAGAACCUUGCCAAUUUCCAAGAGGCUGAAACAUUAAAUAAUAUUAAAAUAAAACAUUCUCAGUGUAGAAGAUGAAAACGCCAGCAAAAACAAAGAAACAGAGCACAAAAAUGAUAAACAGAGUAGCGUCUUCUUCUCCUGCAGCAGAAUCUGAGAACAUAGAAGACUAUGUCGCCGAAUGAAUUUGCAGAAGUCUAGCAGUUAGGAUUCAAAGCUAUUGAACAACUUAGGUGUUUACGGAUUUACAGCAUACGGGUUGUAAAUCGGGUCGCACUUGACUUGGAGGCUGCAUUUCUUCAAAGGGGUAAUCGAACAUGGAGAAGCCCAAGUGUUGAAGGUUUCGACAUAUCACAAUGUUACUGAUAUGAUCACCAAAACAUUGUCAAGUUGCAAGUUUUUCCAUUAUAUGCAGUUGAUAAAGCUACAUGAAGUAAACUAGUUUGUUCUUUGAUGUUA